AUUUGUGUUGUGUUAUCAGUGUUCGUGUCAACCCGCUUUUCUUAACAGGUUGACACGACAAGACACAAUAAGAAAACGGGUUGGAAAUGACCAACACGAGCACGACCCGUUACAAUUCGCGAAUCACACGACAUGAUUCACACCAUAAGAAUUAAACUUUUUUAAUAAAAAUUUAACAAAUUUUAAAUGUAAACAGUACAUCCCCAAAAAAUACAUGCCCAAAAAAUCAAAAUCAUUCCAACAAAAGCUAAUAUUCUUGAAUUUAAUCCAAACUUCAACAUCCGUGAACAUGAUCCAUGAAAACAAAAGGUCAAGGCAAAACAAAUAUGAAGUAAUCCAUGAAGAUCCGCAUAAAAAAAAUUCCAUGAAGAUGAUCCAAACUUCAACAUUUCACCAUUGCAAUUUUUCUGGAAGAAAAAAAAUAACUAUGAAAAAAAAUAACUAUGCAACAACUUCAUAAAGUAAAUGUCUGCUCUGCAACUCUAAAAUGAAAAAUAUAAAUAACAUUAUAAAAAAAAUAAAGACCUUUCCAGGUGCCUUGUUUGUGAUACCAAAGGCCUAGCAAAAUUCAGCAGCCUGAUCUUGCUUAACAACUAUAGCAAGAAGAGUUUGAAGCUCUUUCGCAUCAUUUAAGCAGUGGUGAAAAGAAAAACAUUCCUACCUUGAGAGAGGAUUUGGCAAUGGGGGAAGAUCUUCAAAGACAGAGAGAGGAGAGAUCGCAAGAAGAAGGAGAAGAUGAGGACUUGAGAGGUAGAGAAAGAAAGCUGCAGAGAUGAGAGGAGGAGACAGCCGACGCAGAAUGAAGAGAGAUGCUGUCAGGGUUAGCAGGUAUUUUUUUAAGAAUUAAAAAUUACAAAAUUACCCCCGCUUAACGGGUUGGUUCGUGUAUUCGUGAAUGGGCACCGAAACGACCCGUUAGCUUAACGGGUGGCAACGGGUCAACAUGAUAACAACACGACACGAUAAUCCAACCUGAAUACUGAAUUUUUCGUGCGAAUUAGUGUUGUGUUAUCGUGUCGUGUGGGAUAUUGCCAGGUCUAAUCAAACAUACCAACAAAAGAUCAAACAAAUUCUCAUAAUAGCAUCUCAACAAUACCAAACCAAAAACUAUAAGUCAUUUGUAAUUAAACCCUAGAAUACUCAAUUGUAACAAAAUUCCAAAUCAAGGCCCUAGAAUAAUUCAUCCCUAAUCAAAGUCCUAAUUAAUUUCAAUAAAAUCCUAAAAUUAAAAUUCAUUCCUAAUUAAACCUUAGAAUAC
rnacentral:lncRNA from 1 species